rnacentral:misc_RNA from 1 species
GAAAUGCGAUACGUAAUGUGAAUUGCAGAAUACCGUGAAUCAUCGAAUCCUCGAACGCACAUUGCGCUCCUUUGGUCAUCCUGGGAGCAUGCCUGUUUGAGCAUCAGAUCAAAAAAUCAAUAACAAAUUCUUUUUGUUGUUGGAAUUGGACUUUUCUAUCACGACGUAAAAAUCGCGAAGUCUGAAAUACAUGAUCGUAGGGCUAUUGUUGGCUCACAGUACUUGGUUAUUUGCAGUUUUGCAAUUUCAGUGUAUUGGGUGUUCCAACAUCAAAAAGUAGUCUUGCGGAAUUUUUGGUGAAGUCUUAAAACCGCUUCAAGCCAAAAAAAUUAUCAAAGGUGGAUGUUUGCGCAUCUUAUCUUUGAACUUUGGUCUCAAAUCAGGCAAGAUUACCCGCUGA